CCUCUACCCUGAAAAUAAAAUGUAUUUGGGCCAUGACCAUGAAGAAAAGGGGGACAUGUAAACAUUUACAGUAUUAUCUCCUGAUUAAAUGCUGUUCUUUAUGUUAUUUUUAUCUUUUUCAACAAAUGCCUGGAGCAUGAGGACUGGAGCACUGUCCUGAUGGAAAACCAGCAGAAGUCCAAUGUGCUAAUUCUGAUUAAGGAACUCAAAGAACUCAACAACAACAACAAAUAGCCUCAUUAAAAGAUGGGCAAAACACAUGAAUAGAUAUUUUUCAAAAGACAGCAUAGAAAUGGCCAACAAGAAUAUGAAAAAAAAUGUUCAGCAUCAUGAAUGUCAUCUUACACUAGUCAGAAUGGCUAUUAUUAAAAAGUCAAAAACAACUAAUGUUGGCAAGGAUGCAGAGAAAAGAGAACACUUACACACUGUUGGUGGGAGUGUGAAUUAGUACAGCCUCUGUGGAAAAUAGUAUGGAGCUUUCUCCAAAAAUGAAAAAUAGAACUACCAUUUGAUCCAGCAGUACAAUUACUGGGUGUCUAACCAAAGCAAAAGAAAUAAUUAUAUCAACAAGAUAUCUACACUUAUAUGUUUAUCACAGCACUAUUCACAACAGCAGAACUAUGAAAUCAGCCUUAAGUGUCCAUCAAUGGAUAAUUGGAUAAAGAAAAUAUGGUAUAUAUUGAAAUACUAUUCAGCCACAUAAAAGGAUGAAUUCAUGUCUUUUGCAGCAACAUGAACUGGAGGUCAUUAUCUUAAGUGAAACAACUCAGGAAGUCAAAUACUGAAUGUUCUCAUUUACAAGUGGAAGGUAAAGCUAAGGUAUGCACAUGGACAUACAGCAUGGAAUGACAGAUCCUGGAGACUCCAAAAGGAAGGGGGCAGAAGAGUGAUAGGUGGUGGUAAAUUACUUAGUGGGUACAACGUACAGCAUUCUGGUGACAGAUGUACAAAAAGCCAAGAUUUCACCACUACACAAUAUAUUCAUGUAAAAAAAAUUGCUCUUGUACCCUUUAAAUGUAUACCCCCCAAAACAUCAGAAAGUCUCAGAGGAAUGGAACACAAUCCCAGGAAAAGGUUCAUAGGUGAAGGAACUUGCCUUGUCUCAGUUGAGGCUUUGGACUUGGACUUUUGAGUUAAUGCUGGAAUGACUUAAGAGUGUGGAGGACAGUUGGGAAAGCAUGAUUGUGUUUUGAAAUGUGAGAAGAACAUGAGAUUUGGGAGGAGACAGGAAUGGAGUGAUAUUAUUUGGCUCUAUGUUGCUACUCAAAUCUCAUGUAAAAUUGUAAUUCACAAUGGUGGGGGAGGAACCUGGUGGGCAGUGAUUGACUCAUGGGGGGGAUUUUCCCCUUGCUGUUCUCAUGAUAAUGAGUGAGUUCUCAUGAGAUCUUGUUGUGUAAAAGUGUGUAGCACUUCCCCUUUGCUUUUUCUCUCUCUCCUGCUCCAACUUGGUGAGAUGUGCUUACCUCCCUUUUGCCUUUCACCAUGAUUGUAUCUUUCCUGGGGCCUUUCAGCCAUUCUUUCUGUACAGCCUGCAGAACUGCGAGGCAAUUAAACCUCCUUUCUUCAUAAAUUACUCAGUCUCAGGUAGUUCUUCACAGCACUGUGAAAAUGGACUAAUGCAGUCUCUCAAGGUCCUCACUUCAGGAUCUGACCCUGAGAUAGGCCAGUCUUUUGUUAGAAUGUUAGAACAGGGAGAUAGCUUGACAUGAGCAAGAGGAAAAGCCUCUGAAAAAAUGAAGUAAGAAAUAUUUCACACCCCAGAGACCAUCCAAAAUAUGCAGGCUAUAUAUAAUCAGGGAGGAGGGGAAACACCUGUGCAGAAAGAAAUGCCCUUUAAGAUGACCAGUAAUUGCUCAUUCUGCAGUUAACCUAGCUAGCUACAGGCUGUCAAAAAGGAAAGGAGUGCCAAGGAGAAACUCCUAAGAGAUAUGCAGGCACAAUAAGUACAGAUUCAACUGCAAUACAACCUUCCUGGUGGUGGUAAUGAGCAAACCUGUCAUUUGGUAGAAUUUAUAUUUGACACUGUGUUUGCUCAUGCACGUCACCUGACAGUAGGAGAGAAUCCCGCAAACCUGGGGUGGGAACUAGGCAUGGAAAAGACAGAGACUUAAGGCAGAAUGGGGAAACUAGACAAAGGUGGAGACUUGAGACAGAGGCCGGAACUUAAAGAGUCCAACAUAAAAAGCUGCAAGGUAGAAUGCUCUGAGUUGCUGCUGGCUCAUUACAUUCUCUUUUUAGCAGCCUGCUCUGCCUUGUCUUUCCGAGUGUACUGUCUGUGCUACUGCUUAAACCUUGCUCCUACUACUGCUGUUUUCCAGCCAAACCAGCCAAGAGCUGUUUUCUAGCCAGGUCAACCCACUCCUCUCUUGGAGUACACUCUUAUGUCCUUAAUAAACCUUUUGCUUACA
rnacentral:lncRNA from 10 species